rnacentral:rRNA from 1 species
AACGUAGGAGACAAACGUUAUCCGGAGUUACUGGGCGUAAAGGGCGUGUAGGUGGUUUAGUAAGUCUGGCGUGAAAUAUCUCGGCUUAACCGAGGCAGGUCGUCGGAUACUGCGGAACUGGAGGACGGUAGAGGCGUGUGGAGUUCCGGGUGUAGUGGUGAAAUGCGUAGAGAUCCGGAGGAACACCAGUGGCGAAGGCGACACGCUGGGCCGUACCUGACACUGAUGCGCGACAGCAUGGGGAGCAAACAGG